rnacentral:rRNA from 1 species
AUACAGGGGGUGCGAGCGUUAAUCGGAAUUACUGGGCGUAAAGAGUACGUAGGCGGUUGCUUAAGUCAGAUGUGAAAGCCCCGGGCUCAACCUGGGAACUGCAUUUGAAACUGAGUGACUAGAGUUUAAGAGAGGGGAGUAGAAUUCCGGGUGUAGCGGUGAAAUGCGUAGAGAUCCGGAGGAAUACCAGUGGCGAAGGCGGCUCCCUGGCUUAAAACUGACGCUGAGGUACGAAAGCGUGCGUAGCAAACAGGAUUAGAAACCCUAGUAGUCC